GCCAAUCAAACUCCGUGAUAGCUGGUUCUCCCCGAAAUGCAUUUAGGUGCAGCGUUGCGUGUUUCUUGCCGGAGGUAGAGCACUGGAUGGUCUAGGGGGCCCACAAGCUUACCGAAAUCAGCCAAACUCCGAAUGCCGGUAAGUUAGAGCGUGGCAGUGAGACUGUGGGGGAUAAGCUUCAUAGUCGAGAGGGAAACAGCCCAGAUCAUCAGCUAAGGCCCCUAAGAGGUGACUAAGUGGAAAAGGAUGUGGAGUUGCGUUGACAACCAGGAGGUUGGCUUGGAAGCAGCCAUCCUUGAAAGAGUGCGUAAUAGCUCACUGGUCAAGUGAUUCUGCGCCGACAAUUCAGCGGGGCUCAAGUUAUCCGCCGAAGCUGUGGCAUUCACGCGUUGUGGCCGGAAGGUUGCGUGGAUGGGUAGGGGAGCGUCGUGUGCGUGUUGAAGCGGUGGGGUGACCUGGUCGUGGAGUGCAUACGAGUGAGAAUGCAGGCAUGAGUAGCGAAUGACGGGUGAGAAACCCGUCCGCCGAAUAUCCAAGGGUUCCAGGGUCAAGUUAAUCUGCCCUGGGUUAGUCGGGACCUAAGGCGAGGCCGACAGGCGUAGUCGAUGGACAACGGGUUGAUAUUCCCGUACCGGCGAAACAACGUCCGUGCUGGGGCACGCGAUGCUAAGCAUGCGAGACUGUCUGCUGCCUUUCGGGGUGGUGGGUGGUUGAGUCUGUGAUCCGAGUGUGUAGUAGGCAAGCCGCGGAGGGACGCAGGAAGGUAGCUCAUCCUCAGCGUUGGUUGUCUGAGGCUAAGUGUGUAGGGUGGGGUGUAGGUAAAUCCGCAUUCCGUGAUGCCUGAGACACGAUGGGCCUGCACCGUUUGGGUGUGGGUUGAGUGAUCCUAUGCUGCCUAGAAAAGCUUCGUUGGCGAGUUGUUAGCCGCCCGUACCCUAAACCGACACAGGUGGAUAGGUAGAGAAUACCGAGGCGAUCGGGAUAAUCGUGGUGAAGGAACUCGGCAAAAUACCCCCGUAACUUCGGGAUAAGGGGGACCUGAUACGUGACCAGCCUUGCGUUGUGAGCGUUGAGGGUCGCAGAGACCAGGCCCAAGCGACUGUUUACUAAAAACACAGGUCCGUGCCAACUCGUAAGAGGAUGUAUACGGACUGACUCCUGCCCGGUGCUGGAAGGUUAAGGGGAACUGUCAGCCGCAUUUUGUGUGGUGAAGCGGUGAACUUAAGCCCCAGUAAACGGCGGUGGUAACUAUAACCAUCCUAAGGUAGCGAAAUUCCUUGUCGGGUAAGUUCCGACCUGCACGAAUGGAGUAACGAUUUGGGCGCUGUCUCCACCACGAACCCGGUGAAAUUGCAUUACGAGUAAAGAUGCUCGUUACGCGCAGCAGGACGGAAAGACCCCGGGACCUUUACUACAGUUUGGUAUUGGUGAUCGGUGUGACUUGUGUAGGAUAGGUGGGAGACUUUGAAACCGGGACGCCAGUUCCGGUGGAGUCGUCGUUGAAAUACCACUCUGGUCACUCUGGUUAUCUAACCUAGGACCGUUAUCCGGUUCAGGGACAGUGCCUGAUGGGUAGUUUGACUGGGGCGGUCGCCUCCUAAAAGGUAACGGAGGCGCCCAAAGGUUCCCUCAGCCUGGUUGGCAAUCAGGUUUCGAGUGUAAGUGCACAAGGGAGCUUGACUGUGAGACCGACGGGUCGAGCAGGGACGAAAGUCGGGACUAGUGAUCUUCUGGUAGCGAAUGGAAGCGCCAGGACUCAACGGAUAAAAGGUACCCCGGGGAUAACAGGCUGAUCUUGCCCGAGCGUCCAUAGCGACGGCAUGGUUUGGCACCUCGAUGUCGGCUCGUCGCAUCCUGGGGCUGGAGUCGGUCCCAAGGGUUGGGCUGUUCGCCCAUUAAAGCGGCACGCGAGCUGGGUUUAGAACGUCGUGAGACAGUUCGGUCCCUAUCCGCUGCGCGCGUAGGAGUCUUGAGAAGGGCUGUCCUUAGUACGAGAGGACCGGGACGGACCAACCUCUGGUGUGCCAGUUGUUCCGCCAGGAGCACGGCUGGUUGGCUACGUUGGGAAGUGAUAACCGCUGAAAGCAUCUAAGCGGGAAGCACGCUUCAAGAUGAGGACUCCCACACCAUCAAGGUGGUAAGGCCCCCUGCAGACCACAGGGUCGAUAGGUCGGACGUGGAAGCACAGUAAUGUGUGAAGCUGACCGAUACUAAUAGGCCGAGGGCUUGCCACA
rnacentral:rRNA from 1 species